AAGUGCGGCAGUAAGAGUGCCAUAAAUCGAAAAUUAAAAGGGAUAUCCCAAUCCUAAGAUAACAAACAACAAACUGAAGCGCAAUGAAUGAAUAUGGCCACGAAAUCACGCAGAUACUUGUACCAAAGCAAAUGUAGCUAAGUUUCCCGAUAAUCCAAUUACGUUAACACUGACGAAAGGUCGCAGAAACAUGGCUAAUUGUUUGUCUGGCGCCGUUCUGCGCAGUGAAUGCAUAACAUUCGGUGGUGUCAUUGUCAGUGGGGCAUUCAAUAGAUAGAUCGAAUCACGGAUCGAUAUUCGUUAGCAACUUUAACUUUUUCCCCAAACGCUCUCCAAUCGCGGAUAUUUUCCUGUUGACCGAAGAAAGCCUAUUAGUCCAUUAGCCCUCGAAAGGCAUCCACAGUUAAUAGUAUUUUCCGUGUGGUUCCUUAUAUAAGUAUAGUCUAUCCAAUCCACCGCAGGGUGGUGAAAAACUGAGACUAGCGCCCUUAUGUCAUAGGGCGCGGGGGCAAAAAGCUGGCAAAACCCACACGGUGGCGUAUACUUAAUUUAAUUUGCCUCUGGCAUUCUUCCAGUACAGCGAUAGCCGCGCAUUUCGGGCAGAUUUAGUCACGAAUUUGAAUUUCCCAAGUACGCGCGAUUCAGAAUUUAAACAGAGUAACGUAAAAGUGAGGACUACACCCAUAACAUAUUGAAUUGGAUUGCAGUUAUUUGAAAAAUAUUUAAAAAAAAUAGUGUGCUGAUUUGUGAUUGUGAUUCAUUCAAUGCGAAACGGAAUAAACUAUUCACAUAAACUUAACAAUACUCUAAAGUAACAUUAAGUCUAUUGUAUUUUAAUGCAAACAUAAAAAAUUAAAGCCGUCAAACUCAAGCCAUAAUACACAAUAGCAAAGACCCACCAACUACAGCCUAACAUAAUGUCCAAGAAACUCCCAACUAUAUCCGUAACUGCCGACAAGCGAUCCACCCAUUCCGACUUAUCCUCCUCAUCGUCAUCCCACGACACAGAUAGCAAUGACAUGGACUAUGGGCGCAAUGGCGGCGGGGGCGUAACCGAUGUCGAAGAUUUCGACAGCCAGGUGGAGGUACUAAAACCAAGCUCCCGCCGCAAUUCUUGUAACUCCUCUCUGAAGCCCAAAGCUCAUCCCAAAGCGAAUACGGGAGACAACGAUGUGACUGAUGUGGAGGACUACGAUACAGAAUCGGAAGAUGAUGAGAAGAGCACAGCAUACCCAGAACUAAAGCUGUCGCUAAGGGAGUUUCUCCAACAGGGACUCCAGAACCAAGAAGCCGUCGAUAAUGAUGCCAAGGAGAGCUGUGAAAUAAAAGCCGGAGAUUUCGUGCAAGCACAAAACCUGAAUGGUCUGGCAGACUAUCUGACUGAUUGCGAGGACUACGACACCGAUUCCGAAGUUGGAUUUGGUUGUGAGAAAUCAGUAUGCGUUGACCUGGAUCAUGCUGUGGGAGAUCAGGGGCGCGUAAACAUAGCAGAUGGCGAAAAGAACCAAGACGACUCCGAUCAAUAUGAAGAUGUUUCUGUGAUUAGUGAUAUAAGCGAUUUGGCCUCAGCUAUGUCCGAUUGCACAGGUAUUGCAGUGCGUGGCAUGUCCGAGGAUGAAGUUUUGGAGGUAUCCGAUAGUGGUCACGAAGAGGUUUGCAACAUUGCCUGUUCAGAAUCCGAGUCUGAGUCUGAGGGCGCAGCUGCUUUGAGCCAGAGUGAGACUAGUGAGACUAGUUUUCCACCUAUUGAUGUGGCCUUCGUUAGUGCCAGCGGACAGCCACGUCGAAAUUCGAAGUGCAGUAUACCCACGCCUGGACAGAAAAAUUUUCUUCAGCUGGCUUCAAAAAACGAAGAGGUUUUAACUGACGUUGAGGGUAUUGACGACUCUGUCGGCGAAGAUAGCUUUGACAACGAGGAGGAGGACGAAGAACCCAUACCACGUGCCAUAAUCCUUGCGUCUGGCGAUGAUGGGACCUGCCUUACUGAUGUCGAGGACAUGUUCUGUGAAGAUAGUUCGCUAUCCACCAGUGCUGAACCGGAAAUUCGUUCAAUCUGCCACGAGGUCUUACCACUGCCCCAUCGCGAAGUAGUAGAACUGAAGGAGGACAAGUACGGGGACACAAUAACCAAUGUUAUGCCCAUGGACACGAACUACGAGUUUGGCAUUUACAACCACUUGAAGGAUAUGAUUCACACCGAUUCCGAGGACUAUUCGUGUGCCGAUGAGUGGAGCCUUCAACAUUCAGUUGCUGAGGAUGCUGCAAUGGGAGGACCGAGCCUAAUUGAAAACGAAGUAAUUGUAUCCAAUGAACUAUUGAAACAGCAGCAAAACAAGCGCCUGGAGGUACAGACCAAUGCCGAGUCCGUAACAGAUGUUGAGGAAAUCUUCGUGGCCGGAAUAAAUCGCCGCAAGAAGUUGAAGACCCGGACUCUAAGCAAGGGCAAGAAUAAACUACUCGACGCCGUGAAGGGCAAAGAGGAUGGAGUCACAGAUGUCGAGGACAUGGACCUAAGUGAAUGCGGUUUACCUUUGGGCGUGAAGCGCGUGGAGCAGCUGAAACAACAGGCAAAGGGAUCAAAUGCGGACAAAUCCUCAGAAUCAGAGGAUGUAUCCACCGAUGAUGUCUCCGACAUCUCCGAUGUCUCCGACGUACCACCGCUAUCGACAGGUGAUAGAACUAGCGGCAAGACAAAGCCACAACCGCAUCACUUCCGUCUGCUAAAGAAUGAUAUGAUAAAUCAGGAACAUACCGAUGUUGAGGACGUUCAAUUGCCCUCGGAUGCGGAGGAUGCUCUGGAACCACCGGCCGUUCCAGUGGCCAACAGCAACAGUAAGGAGCUGAAUGAUAUGUUGAACGAGAGCUAUACGGUGGUGCACGAGAUGAGUGGUCGCAGUUUCAACAGCGAGGCCGAGAAGCUACAUGCUAAAGGCGUCAUCCGAGAUGCCCAUACCGACGUUGAGUAUGUUGAGUCUGACGAGUCAGCCGCCAGGGGAGGCAACUAGCGUGCGUCCCGUGUCCUCAGCCAAUCCGACUCGAGUCAGUCCCAAGCUGUUGCCAAAAUAUAUCUCAACAAUAGUUAAUAAGUGUUCAUAGAUACGAAAACCCAACACACACACUCUCAAGCAUUUUAAACCCUUCAGGAAAGAAAAGUAGACCUAACCAGUCUGGAUACCGCAAAGAUCUCACAUGAAAUUGGUGAUGUUAAAGUUGGUGGUGGUGAUG